rnacentral:lncRNA from 1 species
CUCAUUCCGUUGCCCAGGCUAGAUCGCAAUGGCACAAUCUCGGCUCACUGCAACCUCUGCUCCCCUCCGGGUUCAAGUGAUUCUCCUGCCUCAGCCUCCCAAGUAGCUGGGAUUACAGGCAUGUGCCACCACACCUGGCUAAUUUUUGCAUUUUUAGUAGAGACAGGGUUUCACCAUAUUGGCCAGGCUCGAACUCCUGAGCUCAAGUGAUCCACCCGCCUCAGCCUCCCAAAGUGCUGGGAUUACAGGUGUGACCACUGCACCCACCCCUCAACCCCAGGAGAGUUUGUUAAACAUGCAGAUUCAAGGUGGGGCCCAGGAAUCUACAUUCUGAACAUGCCCUCAGAGAAUUCUGCUGAAUGGGGACCUCAGAUCACCCUCUGGAAUACACAGGCUCAGUGAUCUAGAAUGGACUUGUUUUAUGCCUGGGUUGGCCAGCAGCAUAUUCUGGGUAUUCUGGACCCACCAAAAGCCCCCAGCAGGGCAGCGGAUUUGCACAGCAAACAGGACAGAGUUGGACCCAAGUUCUCAUCUAAACUCAGUGACUUCUCAUGCUCUGGGAUGAGACCUGUACCUCAGUUUCCUCACAGCAAAAUGGGCGCACUAACCCAUGUCCUGCCAAGGCUGCCUCCCAGAGUUGUCCCUGAGAGGUCUGAAGGAGAUGUGGGGUGGGAAACGAUUUCUUUUUUGAGAUUGGGUCUCACUCUGUCAUCCAGGCUGGAGUGCAGUGGCGCAAUCUCUGCUCCUGCAACCUCCGCCUCCUGGGCUCAAGCGAUUCUCCCGCCUCAGCCUCCUGAGUAGCUGGGAUUACAGGCACGCACCACCAUGCUCAGCUAAUUUUUUGUACUUUUAGUACAGACAGGGAUUCACCACAUUGGCCAGGCUGGCGUUGAACUCCUGGCCUCAACUGAUCCGCUCGCCUCAGCCUCCCAAAGAGCUGGGAUUUCAGGCGUGAGCCACCAUGCCCGGCCAGGGGAAACGUUUUCUAUAUAGUAAAGUGCUUUAGGCGGGAUGUGCAGGGGAUGAUGAUAACCAUUGUUAUUACUAUUAUUAUGGAAGAAGUAGUGGGAACUUGGGGGGUCUGGUGAGGCUAGAAGCAGGGGACAUUCUAGAUAGGAGGGGAGAGGGAGAAAGAGCCUGGACGCUGGGUGGGCCAGAGGAGAAGAGGCUGGGUGAUGAAACCAUAAAAGUGCAUGCGGGUGGACAUGAUGGAACCAUGUCAGCACAGGGUGUAAGAGGGUCAAGUCUUUGGGCCCUUGGCCUUGUCACAUCGGAAGCCAACUGGUAGAACCGUCUACUGUGACAAGCUGGGGACACCUAGAGGUGGGACCCAUCUUGAGUUCAUAGAAAGCAAGACCUCUUAGAGGUCAGCCUUUGGUGGGAAAUAAACUGGGGGAAAGGGCUGGCACAGGGUCAGAGGGUUGGAUUCUGAUGUCUCGUGUGUGCAGGCCUAAGAGCCACUGAUGCACCAAAAUGACUUGAUUUGCAUUCCAAUGAAGUCAUCAUUCCAAAAGGGGCUGAUUUGGCUCUGGAAAGAGGUGAGACAUAAGAAACAUGAGGUUUCCCAGUUUAGGGCCAUCAUGCCAACUGGUCCCCCAUUUCCGCCAACCAACUGAUGCCAACCCCAUGGACCCAAGCCAAGUGGUCUAUGGGGGAUUGAGACCCGAGGGUUCCUUGGGACUUUGGUUGAAGAGAGAGUGGAGAUGGGGAAAACAGAAAGAAGGAUAAAGGAGGAGAAGAAGGGAAUAGCAGUAAAAGGCAGAGAGGCAGGAGGAAGGGGGAGAAAGGGUUCGAGAAGGGCAGCAUUCCUUCUUGGGACCCCAAUUCUCCAGGGAAUCCCCACUGUGGGUCAGGCAGUUUUCUGCUUUGGGAAUGUUACCAAGACUUAAAAGGCAUUUGAAGAAACAAACAAACUUAGAAAUCACAUUCCAAAAGAGUAGAGAAUUUUUACAAACCAAUCCCCCCACCCCAAAAAAGAAAACAACCAGUUACCAAGUAAAAUGCUAAAAACCGAACCAAACCAAUAUUUACAUGUAACAUUUUCAACCCCAUCCAGCCCCACGUCCGGAGGCUUCUGCAGGAACAGUGAUGAGUGGCCUUGCACAGUGGCAUGCAGGAAGUAGAAACUGGGGCUUUACUGAAAACCAAGGUCUGGCUGAGACAACAAAGAUGGCAAGGACAAUCCUGGACAGUACGAUGGUAAGGCUGAGUGGUCCGUAGGUCUUGGGGCUCAGGUCCCACGGGGAUUUCUCCCCGAGGCUGAGUACGCAGCCUCUCUGGCUCUCUGUCGCUCUGGGAGGUGGCAGAAGGCCUCUGGUGGCUUGUGGCCUGAUGUGAAUCCCCUCACCUGGAGAUAACCUUGGAGGGCCCCCCUGACCUCAUGGGUGAGAGCAGCAGCAUCCAAGAGCGGAACUGGCCCACAGCUCCACUGGCUGCCUGCUCUGCCCACACCAGUCACUGGGGCAUGGAGGAGGCGGCUGGCGGGACUGGCAUGACCCUGGUGUUCAGCCUGCAGGGAAGGGAGAUGCAGGACUUGGGGUAACUGGUCCAGGUGAUCCCGAAUGGGUGGGUCUGGGAACUGGCAGGUGGGAGGUGGGAGUGCAGGGGUGCCUCCAGAGUCCUGGGGGCAAAUCAGCAAAGCUACUGGUUUUUGGUCUUCCUGAUGGGCAAUUCUGCAGACAAGCUGAUCCAUCCUGGUGUUUCCACUCUGGGUCCCCAGUCAGUUACAGGAAGGCUGAUGUCUAUGUGUGUGUGGGGAGCAUGUGUGCAACCAAAAGGGGUUCACCGGCACCAAGGCGAGGCCAUGGGAGGCGCUGCCCCACAUGCUGCAAUGAGCCACGUCGAAAUCCAACCAAUGGCUCAGGCAGCUCACAGGGGACGUGAGGAAGGGCGGGCAGCAGAGCUGGGGCAGGGAGAAGAGCCGUGAAAGGCCAUAAGGCUAAGGAGAGAGGCUGGUGAAAAGGCUGGCAGGCUGGUGAGAACCGAGGCAGGCUGGGAGACACUCAGGUUUAUGUGCAAAGCUGCGAUAAACAACAUUCUCAAAGUUCAGUCCUGUUUUCCUAUGAGUUCUCAUUUGGGAAACGUGGAGGGAUCUCCACACUCUUAAUAGAGCUUUAGUAAUCCACGUUCGACUCAUGAAGAAAGGUGUCAGAGGGAGGGAGGGAAAUGAGACAGGCAAUGGAGAACGUCUGGGGAGUGGUGAUGGCCGUCCAGCCCUCCACCUUGUCAGUGAGUAUUUAUAGACUGACCGCUGGGGCUGGCCAAGUACCAGGCAUUGAGUAAUAAGUAGUGUUCUGAGGCCACAUGGCUAGCAGUGUUAGGGUGCAGGGCUCCAGCUCUGUUGAGCGGCCCUCCAAAGCUGACCAGGAGACCAGGUCUCCAAACCUGGCUGCCAAGCUGCCUCGUCCAACCAGGGGACCCCAUGCCUGUCCAUGCUGUUAGAAGCCCCAUGUCGUCCCAGUGGCAAGAAUGCAUGUUUCAACCUCCAAUAAAUUACCUUAGGGACUUUGGGAUAAAUUAAAUUAUUAAAAUAAAGUAAACCACCUUAAAUAUUUAUAGUAGGAAAAAUUCAAAUAAACAAUCUAGGCAAGAUAUGUGUUUCCAGGCCCCAGUCUACUGCUGUGUCCUGGGCUCUGGCCUCUUGGUGUUCUCCUGGGCCUGACCUGGCCAACCAAGAAUCUCUUACUGGGAAUAUCUUUGCCCCCCAACCAGCUGCAGGAUGUAAACACAGUGGAGAUGUAGUGCCUGCUGCCUCUCAGGGUGCCAGGGAAAGAGGCCUCUGAGAUCACUUGAGAUCAAGGCAGUGUAUUUAGGCAUUUAUCUAUGCACCAGGUCUUGAGACUGACUCUACCUAUUUCUGUCCUCAAGGGGUCUGCUGGGAACGUUGGGGCCCCAAGUCACUUUGGCAAGGAAGGCAAUUGCAAUCACUCCCCAACCCUGAGCCCUGCAUGUUUCCACUUCGCCUCCCAGCUCUUGCUGCAUCCAGGCUAUGGGCAGGGAGAUCCAGGGCUCCAGGACACUAAGCAAUGGCCCUGGCUACUGCCCUAUCAUACUCCCUAGUGUCCCAGCAAUCUAGAGCAGUGGGGCUGGGAGGAGGAGGUGGUGGAGAGAAGGAGGUGAUGGUGAUGAUGCCCAACAGGGCUCCACCAGGAACCAAACAUGGAGCCCUAGAGCAAAGCCUGUUCUUCUCAGCAGUGUCUCCUCCCAAAUGAAGGGGUGGAUGGUCAGCAGGAAACAUCUCUCUGACUCCUUUUCCCCAAAGGCAUGGCCAGACAUGUAUCCUUCUUGGGCUUUCCAAGAGGGUGGCAUGGGCAGAACCAGGCAAGGCUCUCUCUUAGGACCCAGGGAUCGGCUCUUGACAGAUCUCUCAGUGGAUGCUUGGGAAGCCCAGGUUUGGUCUCUCUCCCACUCACUGCCUUCCCCUGGGAAGUCGAAGCUCACCACCCAGGGGCCAGCAGGAGACCCGGCUUUACCUUGAUGUGAAAGCUGCAUUCUGGCAGUGGCAUCACUGCUGUCCCUCCAGGGCCAGGCAAUGCUGAGGACACAGCCCCUCGCCUCACCUCGUCUCGUCUCUGCUGGUUCCCUUCUGCUAUCCAGGGGCUGGGCUGGUUGAGGCGGGGAGCUUGGCUGCUCUGUCACUCGCUGGGGGGGAGUGCCCUCUCCUCCCCACCCCAGCUGGACUCUGAAGGAUGCAGCCUGCACUUGGAAGGAGAGUGGCGGAUGGCAGAGCGGGACGAUCGGGCGAAGCAGGAGGUGAGAGACUGGGUACUACAGUCACAAACAGCGUCCUAGGAAGAGGGAGGCAGGGAGGCAGGAAGUCAAGAGGAGCCAGGAGACAUGGACCACCAUGAGCUGUGUGGUAUGCCAGGCAAGGAACUGAGACUCGGCCAUAAACCAGUUCCCAGGGGCUGAAGCUCCUCACUGGACCAAUUUUUUCUUUCUGUUGUUCUUCUCCCAUUAGAGCAGUAAUGGAAGUUCAUUGUAAUAUAUUCUAGGCUAUACAGAGAGGACAGUGGACACUGUCCAUGGUCCUGCACACCAAAGAGAUUCUUAACAUACAUUUACCAAAAUGACAGCUUAUUUUGCAACUGUAAAACACGAACACUUUUCUGUCACUAGGUAUGUCUAGAUCGCCUUCCUUUUUAUCCUUUUUUUUCGUUUGAGACAGGGUCUCACUAUGUUGCUCAGGCUGGUCUUGAACUCCUGGGCUCAAGCGAUCCUCCUGCCUCAGCCUCCCAAACUGCUGGAAUUAGCACCUUUGGGUGCUCAUGCCUCCCAAAGGCAUGAGCCACCAUGCCUGGCUGAUUGCCUUCUUUUUUAGUGUCUCUGUACCAUUUCACUAGAUAGAAAUAACUGAUUUAUAUACCCAAUUAGCUUUUUUUUAUUUUUUUAUUUUUUAGACAGAAUCUUGCUCUGUUCCCCAGGCUGGAGUGCAGUGGUACGAUCUUGACUCACUACAACCUCCACCUCACGGAUUCAAGUGAUUCUUGUGCCUCAGCCUCCCAAGUAGCUAAGAUUACAAGCGUGUGCCACCAUGCCUAGCUAAUUUUUGUAUUUUUAGUAGAGAGGGGAUUUUAGCAUGUUGGUCAGGCUGGUCUCAAACUCCUGACCUCUAGUGGUCUGCCCGCCUUGGCCUUCCAAAGUGGUGGGAUUGCAGGUGUGAGCCACUGUGCCUGGCCCCAAUUCACUUUUUAUGUACAUCUGGGUAGUUUCUAAUUUUUUACUAUUACCAAUAAACAGAAAUAAUGAUCAAAAGUACUGCUGCCAGGCAUGGUGGCUCAUGCCUGUAAUCCUAG